rnacentral:rRNA from 1 species
GACGAACGCUGGCGGCGUGCUUAACACAUGCAAGUCGAACGGAAAGGCCCUGCUUUUGUGGGGUGCUCGAGUGGCGAACGGGUGAGUAACACGUGAGUAACCUGCCCUUGACUUUGGGAUAACUUCAGGAAACUGGGGCUAAUACCGGAUAGGAGCUCCUGCUGCAUGGUGGGGGUUGGAAAGUUUCGGCGGUUGGGGAUGGACUCGCGGCUUAUCAGCUUGUUGGUGGGGUAGUGGCUUACCAAGGCUUUGACGGGUAGCCGGCCUGAGAGGGUGACCGGGCACAGUGGGCUUGAGAUACGGCCCAGACGCCUACGGGAGGCAGGAGUGGGGAAUAUUGCACAAUGGGCGGAGGCCUGAUGGAGCAACGCCGCGUGCGGGAUGACGGCCUUCGGGUUGGAAACCGCUUUCGCCUGUGACGAAGCGUGAGUGACGGUAAUGGGUAAAGAAGCACCGGCUAACUACGU